UAAAUAGCCAUUUUCAGGCAGGUGGGGAAUAGUGAGACCAGUUUCUUGUGUCAUUUCCCUUAAUUCUGCAGCCACAGAAGAUGGGCGCGUAUGGAGCACUCAUUCUUAUUUUGAGCUGUUUGUGUAUGUUUUGGAAAUUAUGUGAAGAGGCAUUCAUUGAGGGAAAAAAUGGAACACAAUUGAGAGAAAACUACACUACCUGACUUACAGCACCUUUUCUGUGGUCAGCCUUGAGCUCGCUCACGUCCUGGCAGGCUCAGCACCACACCCUGGUGCGUCUCGAGCACAGCAGCUCUGGUGCAGGCUGCGCCCCAGGCCAGCACAGCGGUCUUCUGUCUGCGGGCGCCACUGGCCUCCUGAUCCUCAGGAGCUCCCUAACCGCAGUGGAGAGGCAUUGCUUCUGCUGGAAUAGGCAUUUUACUCUUAUUUAAUUUUGGUCUAAAUUUAUAAAACUUGGUAAAUGAUAAGGUCUUGUUAGUACAGAAGAGCACUAGGGUCAGUCAAGAAGGUGUGGGGG
rnacentral:lncRNA from 1 species